AAACUAUGACGAGAAAGCUGCUGGUAAUAGAAAUGAAGAGGCAUCUUGUAGAUUGGUAUGGCAGAUAUGGUGUUAUGAACCGAACCGUAUGAAUGAAGGCACUGUUGACGAACUGCACUGCUAGUUGUUUCGGCAAAUCUGUUUUCGAAGCUGUUUGCUUUUUGUUUUAUUUGAUUUCACAUUUUGGCACAAUUAUAAUCACAAUGGCAAAUCACACAACGUUCUCGUGGGGUCUAGUUUAAUUGUGUAGUGUGUAAGACUGUUUUGAGCGCAGCUGAUUGAUACCGAUUACUCGUUACAAACACGUUUCCCCCGGUGGAUCUGCUCUAAACCUCUGUGGACCCAUCCUACGUACACAUCAAAAGCGCACACUAAACGAAACACUCCACUUGGUGUAGGAGAGUAGUAUUUGUAAAUUUAUUUUGAUGAUUUCUCUUUUUUUUUUACAAAAUUCAUUCUCACGACUCAUACUUGUUUUCUUCUUUUGGUGUACACCUACAUAUAUGCACACCAUUUGCACGCUGGCCUUUUUUGUUGUUGUAUGCUUCAUACAGCAAGAGAACACUUGCUUGCAAACGCGCGCACUGUUCUGUACACGCGUUGUACGGCAAACUUGGUUUACAGCCUUGUUUUACGGUUAAAUUUCGACAUGGUAAUACAUCAGCUCUGUGUUGCCAACCAAUGCAUGCGUACUUUCUUUUUCCUUGAAACCAUACCGCAUCUUUGCUUUGAGGCGAGGGAAAGUUUGGGAUUUUUUUUGCCAUAAAAAUCCGACAAUCUAGCUAAUGCACAGUUUCCGCUUACAGAUUGCGCCGUAUCAGUGGACUAGUUGGUUCGCAACAAAGGUCAGUUUGGCGAGUUGUAGAAAGCAUGUAAAAGUGCACGAUCGCUGAUUGCGAAUCGCAAAUAACAUUUGGUAGCAGAUCUAGUAACGUAAACAACAGUAGAACCACGUUCCUAUGAGGAAAGCAGCAAAUAGGUAGUGUAAUCCUUGUUUGAAGUAACGUUGCAUUUCAUGCAACGUAUGCUAAAAUUCAAUAAGGAUCGUUCGUCGAUUAGAGAAAAAUAAAACAAAAA